UACAGAGGUGGCGAGCGUUAUUCGGAAUUAUUGGGCGUAAAGGGCGCGUAGGCGGCCAAGCAAGUCCUGGGUGAAAUCCCUCGGCUCAACCGAGGAACUGCCUCGGAAACUGCAUGGCUUGAGGCCGGGAGAGGGGUAGCGGAAUUCCCAGUGUAGCGGUGAAAUGCGUAGAUAUUGGGAGGAACACCGGUGGCGAAGGCGGCUACCUGGACCGGUUCUGACGCUGAUGCGCGAAAGCGUGGGGGAGCAAACAGG
rnacentral:rRNA from 1 species